UACGUAGGGUGCAAGCGUUAAUCGGAAUUACUGGGCGUAAAGCGUGCGCAGGCGGUUAUGCAAGACAGAUGUGAAAUCCCCGGGCUCAACCUGGGAACUGCAUUUGUGACUGCAUGACUAGAGUACGGUAGAGGGGGAUGGAAUUCCGCGUGUAGCAGUGAAAUGCGUAGAUAUGCGGAGGAACACCGAUGGCGAAGGCAGUCCCCUGGACCUGUACUGACGCUCAUGCACG
rnacentral:rRNA from 1 species